rnacentral:rRNA from 1 species
UGCAGUCGAGGGGCAGCAUGGGCUUAGCUUGCUAAGCCCGAUGGCGACCGGCGCACGGGUGAGUAACACGUAUCCAACCUUCCGGUAACUCCGGUAUAGCCUUUCGAAAGAAAGAUUAAUCCCGGAUAGUAUGGUGAUUCCGCAUGGUUUUUCCAUUAAAGGAUUCCGGUUACCGAUGGGGAUGCGUUCCAUUAGGCAGUUGGCGGGGUAACGGCCCACCAAACCUACGAUGGAUAGGGGUUCUGAGAGGAAGGUCCCCCACAUUGGAACUGAGACACGGUCCAAACUCCUACGGGAGGCAGCAGUGAGGAAUAUUGGUCAAUGGGCGGAAGCCUGAACCAGCCAAGUAGCGUGAAGGAUGACUGCCCUAUGGGUUGUAAACUUCUUUUAUAAGGGAAUAAUUGCGGGUACGCGUACCCGUUUGCAUGUACCUUAUGAAUAAGGAUCGGCUAACUCCGUGCCAGCAGCCGCGGUAAUACGGAGGAUCCGAGCGUUAUCCGGAUUUAUUGGGUUUAAAGGGAGCGUAGGCGGGCGCUUAAGUCAGCUGUGAAAGUUUGGGGCUCAACCUUAAAAUUGCAGUUGAUACUGGGUGCCUUGAGUGCAGUAUAGGCAGGCGGAAUUCGUGGUGUAGCGGUGAAAUGCUUAGAUAUCACGAAGAACUCCUAUUGCGAAGGCAGCUUGCUGGAAUGUAACUGACGCUGAUGCUCGAAAGUGUGGG